AAAUGAGGCCUUAAUUAAUGUCAAGAUUGUACUUUUGCAACAAUUUUCUUUUAAGUUUUUGAACAAAUAGAAAAUGGGAGUUGAACCAAAUGCAGGUGGCGAUUUCAUUGUGAAGCUGAGGCUGGAUUAGCAGCAGCAGCAGCCGUAACAGUAACUACAGCCCAUGUGCGUUCGCGACGAUCAAGGAGAGGAUUAGCCUCCUCCUCUCUCAUCAAAAACAGCAAAUUCAUAAACUCACUCUCAGCUCUUCCUCCCCGGAGGUCAGAGAUCACUACCGGAGUAAUGAUGAUGGUAUACAGCUGGAAAACCAAUGCAUUUGGCCAUUGUUUCUUCAGGAAUAGAUAGAGUGAUGGUGGUUGUAAUAAGAAUUAACAGCGCCAUUCCAAACGGGUUGCUUCCUUGUCCAAGUUGAGCAUUUUGGAAAUGAUUGAUUUGUGGUAAGUAUGUGAAGUCUAUUGAAGAGCGCUUUUGCAAAUUUUGAUGUAGCCUUGUAAUUGUGAGCACCCGGCUUGAUUUAAAGAAUGACUACUAAACUCGAAAGUACCUUCUUCCAAUCAUUAAUUUUUAACAAGAAGUUGAUGCUGCUGGUAUUCUGAUAACUUGGAAGAAUCAAUGAGUUUGAUGAGAUUUUACUUGUGAACUUUUGAGUAGGAUUCAGUGUUCCUUGUAUAUUCUAUAGAAUUGUAAGUAGAUUUUUCAUUAGUUCUACUUCUGGAGGACACUUGAUGAUCAUAAAAAUCUUGCAGCACGUAGAACAUAUGAACAAUCAUAUGCUUUUGAGUAACUAUCAUUGUCAUUAGCUUGUAAUUUCUGCAAAUUUGUGUGUUCACAUUCUGUGGGUUUUAAAAUCUUGUAGUAUAGCAAAUACCAAGUUUUUAGAAAUUGUGUGAAAGGAAUAACGAUGUUAUUCAAUUUGGGCUAUGGUUACCGGCUAUGCAGCACGGGUACUGGUACCGUAUGAGUAUGUUUAAAAUUUUAAUAAAGUAGGGUGUGGGUGCAAGUAGAGUUGGGUAUGUUCGUAAAAAAAAAUUUAUUUUAAAUUUGGAGUAGAGAAAAAUGAGUUACAUGGUUUAGUUGGUUAAAAUCCAACCUUCAAUUCACAUUUAAUGUCAAAAGUAACAUAUAAGCUAACAUUAAAUGUCAUUAUAUUAAUUGACUUGCAAACCAGAUCUUAAUUUUAAAAUUAUGCUAUGUAUAAAAAAAGUCCAAUGAAACUAACUUCACCGUUGUAUAGAAGAAAAUACUAUUUGCUAGAGAUAUUAACAUUGUUAGAUAACACUCGCAUAGACUGAAUCGUUUUGGGAAAAAAGAUUGGUUUGUUCCCUUUGCUAAGCCUAUUGUCUUUUUCGUUCUUUUAGUUUGACUUUUUCAUUCUUUUAGUUUGACUUCAAAAUUCUGUUAUCGUUGCUGUAGAUAUUAAUCAAUAAUCGUUAGUGAACAAGACAUAAAUGUAUUAAUGUAGAUCUUAAGAAGCAAUACAAUGAAAUGAUACAAAGCGACACCACAAAUCUAUAUAAUUGAAACCUCACACUUUAACACAACAAAGACACACAAACUAACCCAAACUGCACAAACAUGAACAAUUGUAGAAUCUGUAGUAGGCCUUCAUUCGAUAACUAGUCUAUGUGGAGAAAGAUGAAUGAUAGUGGUAGCGUCUCUGGGCCUAGUUCGUUGGUGGUGGUGAGAGAAAUGGGAUUGUUGGCAUUGUUGUU